UACGGGGGGGGCAAGCGUUGUUCGGAAUUACUGGGCGUAAAGGGCUCGUAGGCGGCCAACUAAGUCAUACGUGAAAUCCCUCGGCUUAACCGGGGAACUGCGUCUGAUACUGGAUGGCUUGAGUUCGGGAGAGGGAUGCGGAAUUCCAGGUGUAGCGGUGAAAUGCGUAGAUAUCUGGAGGGACACCGGUGGCGAAGGCGGCAUCCUGGACCGAUACUGACGCUGAGGAGCGAAAGCCAGGGGAGCAAACGGG
rnacentral:rRNA from 1 species